rnacentral:rRNA from 1 species
CCUACGGGAGGCAGCAGUAGGGAAUAUUGGGCAAUGGAGGCAACUCUGACCCAGCCAUGCCGCGUGCAGGAUGAAGGCGUUAUGCGUUGUAAACUGCUUUUAUAUAGGAAGAAAGAGUUCUUGCGAGAACAGUUGACGGUACUAUAUGAAUAAGCACCGGCUAACUCCGUGCCAGCAGCCGCGGUAAUACGGAGGGUGCAAGCGUUGUCCGGAUUUAUUGGGUUUAAAGGGUGCGUAGGCGGUUUAUUAAGUCAGUGGUGAAAGACGGUCGCUCAACGAUUGCAGUGCCAUUGAUACUGGUAGACUUGAGUGAGAUUGAGGUAGCUGGAAUGGAUAGUGUAGCGGUGAAAUGCAUAGAUAUUAUCCAGAACACCAAUUGCGUAGGCAAGUUACUAAGUCUCAACUGACGCUGAGGCACGAAAGUGUGGGUAUCAAACAGGAUUAGAUACCCUGGUAGUCCACACUGUAAACGAUGAUAACUAACUGUUGGCUUUCGGGUCAGUGGUACAGAGAAAUCGUUAAAGUUUAUCCACCGUCGGGUAGGUACGGCCGGCCGACGGUACGUAAACGUUAAACGUUAAGUAAGUUAGUACGGACGUGAGACGUUGCCGACGGACGACGACGAGGGAGGAGG